GUAUGUUGAUACGGAGUCAUCUUCAAGACCCAGCUUUCUCACAGUGAACAGAGUCUUCCUCUUGCCAUGCUCGCUGGUCCAGGGCUCACUUGGUUUCAAGUUUGCAGUGGCUUGAGGGUCCUUAUCUUCCUUGUGUUGCUCCAGGAUCCUAGUCAGACUACUUAUUAACCAUGUGGCUUGAAAAAAAAACCCAUAACUUAACAGGAUUCAGUUUUCCUCAAAUGCCUUUCUCAUGAGUUUGCUGGGGAGAACAAGCAGGGAUAGAAAUGAGUUUUUGGAGAUUUGGGAUUUGAUUUUCUUUUGAGUUGACCUGGGGAGAAUGAGAAGCCACAGAUAUCUCUAAAGCUGUUGUAGAAAGAAGCAUUUGUUCUUCUUUUCUUUUAAUAUUAUUCUGGCUUGGGACAAAAUACUUUUUCCUAUAAUCCCUGCCUCCCUUGAGGAAAUCAUUCAGGAGGCAGUGACCUGGACCAAUUGUAAUGGACAUGUACAAAUCUGAACAAAUGCAAGAGAAUAAUGUAGAGAAACAAAGAAAGCAUCUGUAUCCAAGACAUCAGGUUUGUACAGUUUAGGACGGAAGCUGUGGCCCAGGCGCUCUGGGAAUCCCAAGUUAGUGUGGAGAAGAGAAGCUGUCAGCUCUCAUCUAGGCUGUUCCGAAAGACUCCCCACGACAGUCAGGAUCCCACAACAAAUUGAAUAAGCAGAAAUACACGGUUUGACUGGCAGAUAUAAGGGACAUUUUCCAAAACUUAGAGAGAACCGAUAGGAUGCAGAAAGGACACUUAAAUGUCUAGUGCUCAAAAACAAAUUCAAAUAGAAUAUCUACUUGUAACAUAAAAGAAGUUAUUUCUGUAUAAAUCUAAGAAAUCAAAGUAAACGUUUGAGGCAGGAUGAAAAACUCAGAGCUGAUUCUGAUGAUGUAAGGAUUUUAACAAGAGCUUCAUUGGAUUAUCUGUUGCUAUCAGUACUUUCUAGAGAAUUAGGCAGAGACAGGAUAGAACAAUUUUGUCCUCUUUCUAGCUAAGUGGCUGCCUUGCAAGGGCCUGGAAUUCUAGGCAGUUUCAGUGCUCUGGGCUUUGUGGGAUGCUGGUGAAAGAGUAACAAUACCUUGUACCUGAACAAGUCUUUCCCAGUUGCAAAGCACUUUCUCAUCAAUUAUCUUAGUUGAACUCAACAUCACUAUGAAAAAUGCAUUGUGAGGGGAACGGGUUCUGCAAAAUGAGGGACUGUUGGCAUCUCACAGUGAGAAGUGAUGACCUGGAACACCUGUUUUCUUUUGUGUGUUCUUUGUACCAUGCUAAGCUACCUGUAAGACCCACUCCUCUUUUCCUAAAAUAUCUCACCCCUGACCUACCUUUAUGUGCAAACUUUCAUUCCUGAAGUUUCAUUCUUUCAGCAAAGAUAGCUCUGGAGGCUCCAUACCAAGAUGAAAAUACCUCUAGGAGGAUGAUCACAUUGGCGACAUUAUCUGCCAGCGAGGAUGAAUUUAUCUAAUUGGACCCUUGGGAGAUGGACGAUAAGACAGAUAUGUUCUGAAACAAGAAGGAAGGGAAUGUAAAAAA
ensembl:lncRNA